UUUAACUGAGAUGGAAAAAUACUGAACAGACGUCUUGGAACUAUGUCUAUCACAGUAUAAAGAAUACUGUUUUACAUACGUCUUGUCAGUUCCCUGUUCUGCCCUGCGUGGUAUUACAGUGAGCCCGUAUAUACGAAAGUUGCAUUUGCCAUUUAUUACUUAGCUAAUAAAAAAUACAUAGUAUAAAAUCGGUGACUCAUUGUUAUAUUUAUCCUGAUACCAGAUUCGAAUUUACGCAACCCUAACAAUUUGGUGACCACCGACGUGAUCUGGUAGAAGGACGACGCUGGAAAUUGUCCGGCCGAUUGGCCAGUACUGUCGUUGGGCGGUGUGUCUCACAAAUCCUGACCGGUCAACUAAAGAAGGAUUUUAUGCAUUACAGGUGAACUACAGGUGAAGUCACUCAAUCCAGUCCUAGAGGCUUGUUGGGGGGACCAUACCAAGGUCUCCAGGUGACAGCUAGCUGAAAAGCUACCCGGAUUCAUAUCGCACGGCGGGAGGGUAAGACACACUGACACUAUCGAACAAUAAACAGUGUUCGAGAGGAGAACUGGAAUUAACAGAAUUCCGGGGGCCAUCUCUCGAAUGAAGUAACCCUCCCUGUCCUGUCACCCCUGUUUUUGUUCAUAGAAGUGAAGAUGUGUCUGGCUCUUGCUAAGUGAUGUGUUCUCGGGGAAAGGGUGGGGCUUCACAUGGAAGCUGUUCGUCUGAGCUGUCUUAUCGUGGGUGCUAUAUUCCUGAUACAGCACGUCCUACCUGAGUAUGCGGAGAGUGGUAAUUUGACCCAUGGUUUAGACGAUGAGGAUUUUGUUCCAAAAUAAGCAUAAGAGAUCCCUAGAUCUGGGUAGACAGGAAGUUAGAGUAGAGGUUGGGAAGGAUCUCUCAAUGGAGUUUUAUGUAGACCAAAAUGGAGUCUCUAACUACAUGCCAGUCUAGGACACUGAGCCAUUAUGGGAUAUAUCGGUGCAGGUUCCCAUAUUGAUCGUGGGCACAGGUCAUAGGUCAUUUGGAGAGAGAGGGCUAUAUGAAUCCACUCACCCAGUAUGGAAGGACAAAGUAUACAUUGAUAACAUUGGGGUUCCACGGACGUGGACUGGAUUAAUUAUAUUUAUUAUAAUCAACAGCGCUUUAACAAUUAUACCAGAGAUGCUAUUAAAGGUUUUGCAGAACAGACUGAAGCAACCAGCCUGAUGGCUUGGCAGAAUAUAAUUGCAUUAGAUAUGUUAUUGUCUGAAAAGGGAGAAGUAUGCGUGAUUAUCAGGACCAUGUUUGUGCUUACAUCCCAAAUAACACAACUCUGGACGAAUCAGUGCCCGAAGCCUCAGCUGGUUUGACCACCCUGGCUCACGGGUUUGCAGAAAACUCUGGGGUGGAUACUUCUCUGACUAAUAUAAUUUGAUAGUAUGUUGGGAAAAUGAAAAAAAAUAUAUAUAUUAUGAUCACUGUAUUAUGGGCUACAUUCACCUGUGUGGCUGUUUAGUUUUAUGGGGCUGUUGUCUAAUUCCCUGUGUAUGAGGCCUUAUUUCCAGGACUCUGGAGAAAUCGAUGGAAAUAGAUGGUGAGGUACCAGUGGAUUCCAGGUUCUGACCCGUGGAGUGGUGAAUGCAUGUCUACAGAACAAGUGGACGAAAAUGAUAAAUUAAAUUAUAUUAAAUUGGGAGGGUGUCCGUAUGGGGAUUACAUGAUAACCGACUUGGGACAGUUCUGGGAUUGGAGAAGAGGGUAUCCUUAGAGCAUAGGGGAUCCCACAAAGGUGGAUAGGUUUUCCAUGAUAUGGGGAAAACCUGGGAGCACUGUUGAACUUUGUAAAGGUGAUGAAAUCCUACUAACCAUCAAAACUAUUAAGCUCUCUGAUGCAGACACUUACACCCUCGGACUACAAAGGACCGGGACAGACACGAUGGGUGUGUUUUCUAUUAAGGUGCUGCCAAAACCAGAGGUCCCAGACGAACCAGGGCCAGACACACUCCUCUACCACCCCUGGACCGAACCUGCCACCACUGUGUUAAAAAUCCCAUUCAGGUAAUUAAUGUUAGAGACUAUUCAGCUAUUGAUCAAUUAGGCACUGAGACUGGUUUUGAUGGUAGGGACAAUUUGUGGCUGUCUUAUAUGAGGUAUACAGCUAAGACCCUGAAAAGAAAGGACUGCAUGAGUUACAUGAAACAUUGGUCAUGCUAGACCUGUUCUGGCUUCACACCCAUUUGCUAUAGGAAAAGGAGAGGGGUGGUUGUGUAUUCUGAGGUUUUUUACCAGGUUUAGCCCAAUUCAACUCUCUGUUCCUCUUUGAGCCUUGUGUUUCCUACAGUACCUCCUCAUCGGGCCCCUUGGGGUGUUAAGGCAUAUGGGGGCAAUUACAGUUGCAUCACGGGUACAGGUAAUGGCAUUGAUUAUGGGAGAUUGCCUGAAGCUGAUUGCAGUAGUAACAUAACCAUUAAUUCCACUUGGCCAGUUACAGGCCUAAACCAAACUAGUGGUCUGGCUGAUGUGUGGUGGAUCUGUGGACCCAAAAGAGUGCUGAGACCCAUUCUUAGAGGAUACUGGCAAGGUACGUGUGCUCUGACCAGUUUGAUAAUUCCACUGACCAUUGUUGAUGUUACUGCUGAGCAGCUGUUGGGUUCUGUAUCCAGGGGACCUGAAAACAUUCCAUCCCAUGGGAGACAUAGACGUAGUGCUCCAUGGACAGAGGAUGUAGUUGACAUACACACUAACCUGUUGGGAGUGCCAGUGGGGGUUCCUCAUGAGUUUCAGGCCUUGGGUAGGAAUGAUGGACUCUGGCACUUACUACCUAUUAUGGAUCCAGCCAUAGUGGAUGCUAGACAGACUGCAUGGAUUAAUUAUAUCUACUAUAAUCAACAGCGUUUUGUGAAUUAAUCCCGUGAUGCACUCACUGGUAUGUUUGAACAGCUUGAGGCCACAUCUAGGGUUGCCAGCCAGAAUAGACUUGCUUUGGAUAUGCUUUUUGCCAGUCAGGGGGGUGUCUGCAAGAUGUUCGGUGAACAAUGUUGCACGUAUAUUCCUAAUAACACCAGUCCAGAUGGUAGUAUAUCUAAGGCCCUUAGUGGGCUUGAUGCACUAUCUGGUGAGAUGAGGACCAUGGCGGGGGUGGAGGAGUCUGGACUGUUCUCUUGGUUGGGAGCCUGGUUUGGUAAGUACACUGGUAUGGUGGUUACUGGAUUUCUGACCCUAAUUCUUGUAUUCUUGUUAUUGAUGUGUUGUGCUGCUUGCAUCAUACCGUGUUUUAAGAAGUCUGUUACAGAUGUGGUGAAGGCUUCAGGCAUGAUGCCUUUGCUUGAUGCUCCAGUUGGAGAUGCUGAUACUGAAGCAUGCUUUCAGGGGAGGAUAAGACUGACUGAGGAUGACUCAUGGCAUGCUGUGGGUGAGGUAGUAGAAUACAUUUUACACCACCACAGUUCCUUGUUAUACAUUUUUUAUGAUAGGUUUUCUUUCCAGUAUGUUUGUUCUCCCUGUUGUGAAGGUUUGGAGUCCCUGGGUAGCAUGGUGCCCACCUGGUGCAGGAUAGGAGUAGCUGAGAGGACCAGAUGGUUUAUAAUAAUGCUUUGCUCUGCUUUAAUCUGUUUUCCAUGACCAAAGAUUUAUCCUACAUCUUUACAUGUCAAUAAACAAUAAAGUCUUAUCCUGUUUCUGUCAAAAGGGGGAGACAAAAGCAUAUACCACUUGUUGAUUUUUCUUUUUUCUUGGUUGAUUUUUAUUUUCUGUUUUUCUGUAAAAAAGAAAUAAUAAUAAUAAUGUUUUAUUAAUAAUAAACUUGUUAUUUUCAUGAAAUGCUAUUAACACAUUACUAUGUUGGGACCACUGAAAUAAGGAUAAUGAGUGACACCCUGGAGGGUGUCAACAGGGGGAUUGUUGGAUCCUGUGUUUUACAUUAUAGCCAUUAGUAUAUAUAUGAUUAAAUAUCAUCUGAUGUUGGUUGUGUGAGGUGUCUGCAUUUGUGCACUGGAGCAUCAUUAUGAGAUUAAACAACUGCUUGCUACUUGCCUGUUUGUGUGUGACAAGAACUGAGGAACAUGGUGUGACCUGGAUGUUGCAAAACUGUAGAUAACAGCCCAGCAGAUGCUUUGUCCUUGUGU